UACUGACAUGUGAAAUUUAAACAAUCGUAAAAUCUGGGUUAUUUGGGAUGUUGCUAACCUAUCGUCACCCACCGAUAAGUCUCUUGGUUUUGCCUAAUCAAUCACCGGGAAAUCAACGAGGUGAGGCCGACGAUUUGCAGAUGGAGGUUGUCGGCGGCAGCAACAACAACUACACCCAACAUAUUUAUCUCUUUCAUUUCGCACGCACAAACCUGGAUUUCGCGUAUUAUGUUUCUUCUAUAUUGUCCUGAAUCGAUUGCUUGCAUAUGAUCUUUGGAAAUCACACCUCAAUUUCUUCAAUUGCGUUGAAGUGGAACCACCAUAGCAAUGACGACUCACCGACUGCUUCUUCAUUCUCGGUUAUGUUUGUUUUAAUCUACAGCGGUUUUCCUUAGGUUGUGGAUCAUAGUCGACACUCCAGGUAUGUCGUCUUCUCCAAAUUCUCCCUUUUCUUUAAAUUGUUUCCUCUGCAGCGCAUAUCUUGCUGUUAGUGGGGUCUCGAUUCCUCUAUGAUGACCACCGGAGAAUGCAGUUUCGAUUUCAAUCGGUUUUUCGAUCACCGUCACUAACUAGCAGCAGGAGCAAGAGCCGACGUUGGCAUCUUCUGAUUUCGAAAUCUACACCUGACUCUCCUUCUGUGGCCGCUUCGUGAAUCUGAUGAAAAUCCCAAAUUUCAGUGGAGAAGAAGAUGGCUAUCAUGGAAGAUUCGAAGAUAAAGAAGUGAAACUCUUCGUCGAGAGCUUCCAAUCCGACCCUUGGUAUUUCUUUCUUACAUGUGAUAGGUAUGAAUUCUUCAACUCCAACUAUAGUUUUCUUUUCAGAUUUCUCUCUAUCAUCCUUGCUACUAUGGUUUUUCUUUGCAUUUAUUGGCACGGGUUGUUGCCUUGACCUUUGGGGAUUUCUAUAACUUGCAGUAUGUUAAAAUGUAUAACAUAUUCAUGGUCCAGUUACAGGUUUGUGUGAAAACCUCUUUAUGUUUUUGUUUUGCCCUAUGUUUGUGCUUAUGUUCUUUUAACUUCUUUCUAUUGUAUGUUUCAUUUUUUUGUAGACGGUUCUCCCAACUACUACAAAUAUACAAUGCACAUUUAAAUGGCUCUAGCGACGAGCAAGUGAUUAUAGGGUUUAUCAAGAAAUGCAUUCAUUCAGAAUCUGGCAUUGUUUUUCGCUUCAUUUUAAAGGUAAGUUUGUCUUUUGUAUCCUAACUUUAUUACAUUAGAUCUAAUAUGGCACUCUGCAUGUACUUUCAUAUCCGUGUACUGGAAUCCACAUAAGAGAACACUACUGCACCUUUAAUGGGCCUUUAAUAUCACUUGAGCAUUUCUUAUGUUGAUGAAACAGAAGUUUUCAAGGUUUUCUCACGUUGGCUUUAUUUUGUAUUAUGUGUUACGUGAUCUCUAGAAUAUCAGUGAUCUGUGAACCUCUUAAUCUGCGUUUUUGUUUUUUGUUUUUUUUUUCUUUUCUGUGUCUUAUUGGAUGGAUCAUGAGUUCGCAUGGUCUGAUUACUCAAAGUUUUAUCCGACAAAGACGUUGCAAGUGUUAGGUAGUACUUUUAUGGUUUAAUUUAAGUGAUAAACACUCACUGAAUCAAGUCGUGCAUUUUUGUUAAUGUAUGGUAACAAUAAUAUUUUGGGAUAUUCCUUUUACAAGGGCUUUACAAUUACCCAUUUUAGAGAAUGUUAUAUUAAUUAACUUUUCUUGAAAGCCCAUGUUAUAUGGUUGUUACAGUGAUGCCUAACUUCAUUUGCAAACAACUUCACAUGUACGACGCCAAGGUGGCCCUACUGUUGAGGGUUGCGAUAGGUUGGAUUAUGAUGACAUCGAAAAAGGAGGACAUGUUCUAUUGAUAAGUUCAUUGCCUAUAUGUAACAUCUCAAAAUUCAAGGCCAAAAAUUUCAUUUUUAAUUAAGUAACUCAUAAAAUAGUUUACCCAUAACAUUACCAACAUCAAAUUGAUUUAUAAAACUGUAACAAUGUGUCUCAAAACCAUAUCAUCCAUAGUAAUAAAAAUCGUAGUACAAUCCCAAGAAAUCUCAUAGUGUGGAAAUCAUGCGGGUGUGAUGAGUAGCUACCGCGCUGGCUCUUUCCCCUUCGCUGAAAAGGUACCUAAAACAAACUGACAACUCUAAGCACGAAGCAUAGUGAGUUCCCUCAUCAUACCACACACAUACAAUAACAUACUGUAAGGAAAUUCAGAGGGGGGGGGGGGGGUGACUACCAAGGUCAAGCCAUUCUGGGUGCUUGACUUACCUAGGUCAAGCCAUUCUGGGGUGCUUGACUUACCCAUCGGUCUAUAUCGCCCGACUACUAGGGACUAUUUCACCCCUACCACUACCAUAUAACACACAUAUACUGCCAGGUAAUUCUGGGGUGCCUGAAUACCUAGGUCAAGCCAUUGUGGGGUGCUUGACUUACCCGUCGGCCCUUACGAUCGGCACACCAUAAACAUACUGUCAGACAAUUCUGGGAUGCCCGACCUACCCUUCGGUCCUAACAACCGAACUUGGGGGCUGUAUUCCCCCUACUACCACUAUCACAUAUAACAUAUCAUGUUAGCACAUAAACAUAUCAGGUACUAGCAAACCCAGACGAAUAUCACAAAGACACUCAUCCAACAUACAACUCCUACUGGUGGGUUGGCAUUGUGGCCGUAGACCCACCACUACUGGAAGGUAACUCACCUCGAUAUCGUGAAAUAUUUGCAUUGUCCUCGGCACGGAAAUUGACUCAUCACUACUCCCUAAUCCCUACACGACAACCUUCUCCAAUUACUAUUGCAUACUCAUAACCCUUAUAAUGGUCAUUCCAAAUCCAAGUCAAAGUCAAGGUUAAACCUUGGUCAAAGUCAACAUUUGGUUGACUCGACACGUCGAGUUGGCCCACCAACUCGUCGAGGCCCCAAAACUACCAAAUGUCUUACUCCUGUCCCUACCUGUCGAGUCUAACAAGAGCCCGACGAGUUCUCCUUCAAUAGCACAUCGUAAAAAAAACUUCAACAGACUCACCAAGUUCGCUCUUGAG